ACGCGGGGGGCUUGGAAGAAUCAGCGGGGAAAGAAGACCCUGUAGAGCUUGACUCUAGUCUGGCUCUGUGAAGAGACAUGAGAGGUGCGCAUGAAUGGAUUAACGAGAUUCCCACUGUCCCUAUCUGCUAUCUAGCGUUCCCACGGCCAAGGAACGGGCUUGGAAGAAUCAGCGGGGAAAGAAGACCCUGUAGAGCUUGACUCUAGUCUGGCUCUGUGAAGAGACAUGAGAGGUGUAGCAUAAGUGGGAGUGCGAACGCCGUUGAAAUACCACUACUUUCAUCGUUUCUUUACUGACUCGGUGAGGCGCGGGGCUUAUUGACUAAGAUUUUGUAGAGUUAACGCCGCUCUGCGGAGCGGCGGACGCGCUCCGAGGACAGUGUCAGGCGGGUAGUUUGACUGGGGCGGUACAUCUGUCAAAAGGUAACGCAGGUGUCCUAAGGCGAGCUCGGCGAGGACGGAAACCUCGCGUAGAGUGAAAGGGCAAAAGCUGGCUUGAUCCUGAUUUUCAGUACGAAUACGGACCGCGAAAGCGUGGCCUAUCGAUCCUUUUGAGAUUCGGAGUUUGAAGCAAGAGGUGUCAGAAAAGUUACCUCAGGGAUAACUGGCUUGUGGCGGCCAAGCGUUCAUAGCGACGUCGCCUUUUGAUCCUUCGAUGUCGGCUCUUCCUAUCAUUGCGAAGCAGAAUUCGCCAAGCGUUGGAUUGUUCACCCACCAAUAGGGAACGUGAGCUGGGAUUAGACCGUCGUGAGACAGGUUAGUUUUACCCUACUGAUGAGCUGUCGUUGCCGUAGUAUUCCUGCUCAGUACGAGAGGAACCGCAGGUACGGACAUUUGGCACGUGCGCUUGGCCGAGAGGCCAGUGGCGCGAAGCUACCGUCCGUGGGAUUACGACUGAACGCCUCUAAGUCGGAAUCCCGCCUAUAGAUAGCAACGAUACCGUAGU
rnacentral:rRNA from 1 species